rnacentral:rRNA from 1 species
GACGAACGCUGGCGGCGCGCUUAACACAUGCAAGUCGAGCGAUGAAAUCUUAACAGAACCCUUCGGGGUGAAGAUAAGACGGAUUAGCGGCGGACGGGUGAGUAACACGUGAGUAACCUGCCUUUUACACAGGGAUAGCCUCAGGAAACCGGGAUUAAAACCUGAUGAAACUAUCAAAUCACAUGAUUAAGAAAGUUAAAACUCCGGUGGUAAAAGAUGGACUCGCGUCCCAUUAGCUAGUUGGUGAAGGUAACGGCCCACCAAGGCAACGAUGGGUAGCCGGGCUGAGAGGGGGAACGGCCACAUUGGAACUGAGAAACGGUCCAAACUCCUACGGGAGGCAGCAGUGGGGAAUAUUGCACAAUGGGGGAAACCCUGAUGCAGCGACGCCGCGUGAGCGAAGAAGGCCUUCGGGUCGUAAAGUUCUUUUAUAUGGGAAGAUAAUGACGGUACCAGAAGAAAAAGCCCCGGCUAACUACGUG